rnacentral:rRNA from 1 species
GCGUGGCUUCCGGAGCUAACGCGUUAAGUAGACCGCCUGGGGAGUACGGCCGCAAGGUUAAAACUCAAAUGAAUUGACGGGGGCCCGCACAAGCGGUGGAGCAUGUGGUUUAAUUCGAUGCAACGCGAAGAACCUUACCUGGUCUUGACAUCCACAGAAGAAUCCAGAGAUGGAUUUGUGCCUUCGGGAACUGUGAGACAGGUGCUGCAUGGCUGUCGUCAGCUCGUGUUGUGACAUGUUGGGUUAAGUCCCGCAACGAGCGCAACCCUUAUCCUUUGUUGCCAGCGGUUAGGCCGGGAACUCAAAGGAGACUGCCAGUGAUAAACUGGAG